rnacentral:lncRNA from 1 species
GACAGUACUAAGGACUCUUGAAUUGGUGGUCAUAAAGUGAGACCACACAGUGUGGUGGCUGGAUUUUCCUCCAGCCACCCUCCAUUGCUUGGGACUUGGAGGAGACUUGGAUUUGAUCAGGGCUGGGUUUUGCUGGUGAAAGUCAAUGGGAGGGGUCAAUUACCCAAGGAAGUGAUUAUAGAAAUAGAUCUUGGAAUCUGAACUGGGAGGGAAGAGAAAGCAAGUAAAAAGUGGUGGUCCCUGUGGGAAGAAACGCAGAGGAAGCAAUCCAAUGAGUGAGGGCCAGGGGACUUUCCAAGGAUCAAGCAUGGGGAAGUAAGGCCAUCAGGGAAGAGGAAGCACAAAGUAUCUGUGAGGGAAAAAGCGUUCCAGCUGGCACCAAAGAGCUAGGGAAACAGCAAAGCCUUUGGGCUCCAGUCCUCAUCCUGGUGUGUGAACAGGGAGACACUGAAGGGCCCGACUGCCUACUAGUACUCUGUAGGUAACUGCACAGACCAGGGAGAAACUGAACGCUGAACGGGUUAAGCCAGGCAGAUACAGCCUAGGCUGUUCUAUAAACACUGGGAGACCCACUGGAUAUUUCGCUUUCCCCACACCAUGGACACACUCUUACCUAGUGUUUGAUCGAAGCUAAAAAAUAUCUUUCCUCCAAUGUUGGGUUCUUCCUCCUCUUGACUUUCCCUUUGCUGCUCAUAGCACCCUCUUCUCAGUCACUGAGCUGUCAAAGCCUCCACAUCCUUUAAUUUUUCUUCCUCAC